rnacentral:rRNA from 1 species
GACGAACGCUGGCGGCGUGCCUAAUACAUGCAAGUAGAACGCUGAAGGAGGAGCUUGCUUCUCUGGAUGAGUUGCGAACGGGUGAGUAACGCGUAGGUAACCUGCCUGGUAGCGGGGGAUAACUAUUGGAAACGAUAGCUAAUACCGCAUAAGAGUAGAUGUUGCAUGACAUUUGCUUAAAAGGUGCAAUUGCAUCACUACCAGAUGGACCUGCGUUGUAUUAGCUAGUUGGUGAGGUAACGGAUCACCAAGGCGACGAUACAUAGCCGACCUGAGAGGGGGAUCGGCCACGCUGGGACGGGGACACGGCCCAGACUCCUACGGGAGGCAGCAGUAGGGAAUCUUCGGCAAUGGACGGAAGGCUGACCGAGCAACGCCGCGUGAGUGAAGAAGGUUUUCGGAUCGUAAAGCUCUGUUGUAAGAGAAGAACGAGUGUGAGAGUGGAAAGUUCACACUGUGACGGUAUCUUACCAGAAAGGGACGGCUAACUACGUG